UACGGGGGGGGCAAGCGUUGUUCGGAAUUACUGGGCGUAAAGGGCUCGUAGGCGGCCAACUAAGUCAGACGUGAAAUCCCUCGGCCUAACCGGGGAACUGCGUCUGAUACUGGAUGGCUAGAGGUUGGGAGAGGGAUGCGGAAUUCCAGGUGUAGCGGUGAAAUGCGUAGAUAUCUGGAGGAACACCGGUGGCGAAGGCGGCAUCCUGGACCAAUUCUGACGCUGAGGAGCGAAAGCCAGGGGAGCAAACGGG
rnacentral:rRNA from 1 species